rnacentral:lncRNA from 1 species
UUUUUUGAUCGGCCGCUCCAAUAUUUCCCUCCCAAAAGCACCUUACACCUCUACAACUAUACAAACCUAUCCAUCCUCCAUGUUUACACUCAACACACAUGAAUCCACAGUCAAAGACCCCCUCCCCCUCUCCUGAUUCUUUUCGGCAGACACGCCGAAACCGGCGACAACGCUGACGGGUUGUUCCGAUGAAACCCCGACCACAAAUCUCCAAUUCCUUCUCCCGGCUACUCCCUUCCUCCUCUUUUCUCGUCUGAUUGGCAGCCACGGCGACAGAGGGUCGCGGAGUCAAUAAUGAAGGUGAUGAAGAUGGUGGUGGAGCAACGCCGACGACGUCUUCAGGUCGACCUGCGUUGCGGCGUCUGCGGCGGUGGACGACGGUGGUGGUUCACGGCUCGGGUUAUUUCAGUUUAGUCCGCACCGGUCAAACUGGUUCAAAUUGUGUUCGGGUUAGUUCACUCGGGUGAACUCAGGUGACUUGGUUCAGCUUGGUUCGGGUCUCGACUCGAGUUUCGGUCGACAUCAGUUCGGGUUCGGAAGUGGAGGUAGUCGUGGGUUACCCGUGUUUCGGUUCAAGACUUCAAGUUUAGUUUCAAUUCACUUGUUUCAGUCCAUGUUUGGGUCUCGGUUCAGCCUUCACCGAGUCAACUUGGUGUCUUGAGUUCCAGUUCAGUCAGAUUUCGGAUCGGGAUUCACGUCGGAGUUUAACGCGACUCGUUUCGGAUAAUCGCGUACGUUCGUUCUCUUGGAAUUCUUCAUGCUUACUCGUGUGUUAUUUCAAGGAACCCUUAUACGCAACCAAUGUUGAUUGUUGAGGUGAUAUUCAAGAUGAAACAAGAUUUAGGGUGGACUAGAUACACACCUAGAUUAAUCUAUCUUUUAUUGUUAUGAUUUAUGUUGAAACAAUGUUGUUAUUUUUGUUUGAAUCUUGUAUGACAAUUAGUCCUGAAAUGAAAUUCGAAUUUAACUAAAUAUUGUCACAUAGUGUUAUGAAGUCUCUAGCAAUCUAUACACACUUCGUCUCAUCCCGAUGUUUCCGCCAUCGGUUGGGGUGUGACACAUAGCAUCUUCUUGUCUCAAAUUUCUGACUCUGGCAGUUAACAGCAAUGUGUCCUUCAAAACUACAUUUGUAACACACCUUGUUAUCAUACCAAUCUCCACUUUCAAACCACACACUCAAAUCAUAACACUGAUUUGAUUUGUAGUACUGAUCAUUUCUCAGUUUUCUAUCAUUGUAAUGAUUUGUCUUUGAAGAAUCUUCAUUCCAUCUUCUCCUGUAAGCUUGAUUUGGCUUUUGAGCACCGUGGUCAAACCUGCACCACUUAUUACUAACUUUUUGUGAGUUUUGAUUUUCAACUUUUUGUGGUUUUUUAUAAUGAUUGGAUGAUUGAACUGAUGAUCGUUUAUUAUUGUUUUGAAAAUUUUUCGAAUUUUUAACAUUUUGUUUUUGUUCUACAUUCUUCUUAAAAGGCUUUUGCUUUGAGCAUUCACCUCUUUCAGUAGAUUGUAAAACAGUUUCUUGAAAUUUUUCUUUUAAUUUCAAAAAUAUUUUCUUUUUAUCAUCUUCAUCAUCAGAUUUAUCAUCACAAUCUUCAAUUAUGACUUUGUCAUAAUUUGUGACAUUGUUACUUAUUGGAAUUUCAUUGAUUGGUUUUGGACAGAUAUGAUCCAGGAUUACCGACGAAGUCACAAAACCUUUCAAUUUCUUUUCUAACUCAUCAAUUUUAUUUUUAGCACUCUCAACUUCAUUUUCAAGUUGAGUGAUUUUCUCAAGAUGAGAAUUUAUUGCUUUUUCAUUUUCAAUUUUAUUUUUAUCUAAAACAGAUUUUUCAUUUUCUAAAACUUUUAUUUGACUUUGAAAUUCUGUUUCUUUUUCUUUUAAAACUUUGUUUUAUAAUUUUAUCCAAAACACAUCUUCAUUUUCGAAAAUUUUUAUUUUAUUUUGAAGUUCUUUUUCAUUUUCUUUUAAAUUUUUGUUUUCCAAUGUCAUACUCUCCACAUCUUUCAGAAGUUUGACAUGGCCUGCUCUAGUUUUAUCACAUUUUGAGCACACAAGUUCAGAUCUUGAAGUUUCAUUUUUUUUUCGGAUUCUUUAUUCUUUGAAAUUACCUCUGUCUCUGUCUUGUAUGUAC